CAGAGAACUUAGCAGACAUGCUUUNGUGCUUCGGGAACUCUGAGACAGGUGCUGUAUGGCUGUCGUCAGCUCGUGUUGUGAAAUGUUGGGUUAAGUCCCGCAACGAGCGCCAACCNUUAUCCUUUGUUGCCAGCGGUCCGGCCGGGAACUCAAAGGAGACUGCCAGUGAUAAACUGGAGGAAGGUGGGGAUGACGUCAAGUCAUCAUGGCCCUUACGAGUAGGGCUACACACGUGCUACAAUGGCAUAUACAAAGAGAAGCGACCUCGCGAGAGCAAGCGGACCUCAUAAAGUAUGUCGUAGUCCGGAUUGGAGUCUGCAACUCGACUCCAUGAAGUCGGAAUCGCUAGUAAUCGUGGAUCAGAAUGCCACGGUGAAUACGUUCCCGGGUCUUGU
rnacentral:rRNA from 1 species